GAUGAACGCUGGCGGCGUGCUUAACACAUGCAAGUCGAACGGAAAGGCCCCUGCUUGCAGGGGUACUCGAGUGGCGAACGGGUGAGUAACACGUGGGUGAUCUGCCCUGCACUUUGGGAUAAGCCUGGGAAACUGGGUCUAAUACCGGAUAGGACCAUCGGCUGCAUGGCGGUGUGGAGAGAGUUUUCGGUUUGGGAUGGGCUCGCGGCUUAUCAGCUUGUUGGUGGGGUAGUGGCGUACCAAGGCGUUGACGGGUAGCCGGCCUGAGAGGGGGUCCGGCCACAUUGGGACUGAGAUACGGCCCAGACUCCUACGGGAGGCAGCAGUGGGGAAUAUUGCACAAUGGGCGGAAGCCUGAUGCAGCAACGCCGCGUGGGGGAUGACGGCCUUCGGGUUGUAAACUCCUUUCGCCAGGGACGAAGCGCAAGUGACGGUACCUGGUGAAGAAGCACCGGCUAACUACGUG
rnacentral:rRNA from 1 species